rnacentral:hammerhead_ribozyme from 1 species
AUUUAGCUUACGAGUUCUAGAUAGGACGAAAUUCGCAUCCUGAAU